rnacentral:lncRNA from 1 species
AUUACUUUCUCCAAAAUAUAUUUAUUAAGACCUUUCCCAUUUCCCUUAAUCUACUAGGUUAGCAUUGACUCAUCUUAAUUGUCUCUUUCCUCUUAUUUGGAAAUGUUAAUAACUCAAUUUAAGCCAUGUAAAGUGCAUCCAGAUACUACAGUGAUGGCUACCAUUAUAAAUCUGUGUAAUAAAUAAAUUAAUGCAAUGAGACAUAUUCUAAUGUAAGCUACAUAGAGGUGUCAGCCAGUGUAAUUGGAUUCACAGCAGUGUAAUAGAUCAGGAUCUGGACGAACAUUUUGGAACAUUGUAUUGUUUUAUUUUCUUGGUUUUUUCCACUGUGCCUUAAUGUUUUCCCUGAACACAUUGCCUGAUUCUCUCUCUCUCUCUCUUUUUUUUUUUUUGGCUGCCUCCCCAUUUUGCAUUUCCAUAGCAGGUUUUUAUUUCUUUACCCUGAGAUCUUUGAACAGUCCCUCAAGAGGCUUCACUGGCUGAUUUUUGUUCUUUCUUUUUUCAGAGUUUGUGCCAGGCACUUUGUUCAAAUCUGUCUUGGGAAUGAAAACACCCCAGACUUUUCUAGAAAUCCUAAUAAUGCUGCUUCUCUACAUAACAACAUCACUUCCUCUACAGAUGGAUAGAGCUAUAGAUAUAUGCACAUGCAUCUUCAUAGCUAUCCCUACCUUUUGGGCUUCUCAGAGGCUGACUGCAUCCUGAUCAUCAGGCUCCCUUCCUGAGCCCAUCAGCUGUGCAGCAGGGAAUGAAAACAAUGGCUUCUGUCUGCUGAACAAAUGCAAACUAAUUGACUGCACCUGAACUGGCCAGCAAAGGGAGGCUGUGCAGCUACCUGCCAGCUUGUAUCAUGAGCUCAGGUGGGUGGCCUGCAGGAGCAGAGAAGAGGGGCCAGGCAGGUGGCUGUCUGCAAUAUGUUUCCCCUGCUGUACAAAGAUUUGGGCCAUAGGAACUAAAAAAAAUGUGGCUUUCAUGUUCUGCUUUAACUGUUUUGGUAGGGGGUAGUUUAAAAACCUUAGCACUAGUCACCAGUUGCUCAUGUUUAUUCAUAUGGUACCAUCUGAAAUAGGCAGAUUUGGGCCAAUUUAGGAAGUGUAAGUUACAAUUGACCCUUGAAAGAACAAAUUAUCCACUUGAGACUCUUUAGAUAUGUGGCUAAUAUGAAGCUGUCAGUUUACAUUAAUUUUUACACAUCUCCUAGCUAAACUAGGGAUCCAAAUGCAAAAACCUAGUGUGAACUAUGGAUUUGGGAGUCCAUGGGGAACAUAAUCAAUUAAUCUGUGGCGGGUUAUUGAUGAUGAUCUUUUCCUUUU